rnacentral:rRNA from 1 species
CAGCAGUCGCCACGGUAAUACGGAGGAUCCAAGCGUUAUCCGGAAUCAUUGGGUUUAAAGGGUCCGUAGGCGGUCUUGUAAGUCAGUGGUGAAAGCCCAUCGCUCAACGGUGGAACGGCCAUUGAUACUGCAGGACUUGAAUUAUUGGGAAGUAACUAGAAUAUGUAGUGUAGCGGUGAAAUGCUUAGAGAUUACAUGGAAUACCAAUUGCGAAGGCAGGUUACUACCAAUUGAUUGACGCUGAUGGACGAAAGCGUGGGUAGCGAACAGGAUUAGAUACCCCCGUAGUCCCUGUUUCUUAUAC